ACUGCUCAGUAACAUGUGGAUAACCUACCCUUAGGACUGGGAUAACCCCGGGAAACUGGGGAUAAUACCGGAUAGAUCAAGGAUUGCUGGAAUGCGCCUUGAUCCAAAGCUCCGGCGCCUAAGGAUGGGUCUGCGGCCUAUCAGGUUGUAGUGGGUGUAACGUACCUACUAGCCGACGACGGGUACGGGUUGUGAGAGCAAGAGCCCGGAGAUGGAUUCUGAGACACGAAUCCAGGCCCUACGGGGUGCAGCAGGCGCGAAACCUUUACAAUGUGCGAAAGCAUGAUAAGGGAACUCCGAGUGCCAGCAUCUAAUGUUGGCUGUCCUUGUGCCUAAAACGCACGAGAUAGCAAGGGCCGGGUAAGACCGGUGCCAGCCGCCGCGGUAACACCGGCGGCCCGAGUGGUAGCCGCUAUUAUUGGGUCUAAAGGGUCCGUAGCCGGUUCGGUAAGUCCUCUGGGAAAUCUGGUUGCUUAACAAUCAGGCUGCCAAGGGAUACUGCCGAACUUGAGACCGGGAGAGGUAAGAGGUACUUCAGGGGUAGGAGUGAAAUCUUGUAAUCCCUGGGGGACCGUCUGUGGCGAAGGCGUCUUACCAGAACGGGUCUGACGGUGAGGGACGAAAGCUGGGGGCGCGAACCGGAUUAGAUACCCGGGUAGUCCCAGCCGUAAACGAUGCUCGCUAUGUGUCAGGUAUGGUGCGACCAUAUCUGGUGCCGUAGGGAAGCCGUGAAGCGAGCCACCUGGGAAGUACGGCCGCAAGGCUGAAACUU
rnacentral:rRNA from 1 species